rnacentral:lncRNA from 1 species
CAAUAUUAAUAUAUAUAUUAUUACUAAUAUUAUUGUAUUGGAGCGAACAAUAAAAAUUUGAAGAAUAUAUGAAAGGGGCAAAGAAGUAUUUGGGGGUAAAGAUGUAAUGGUCAAAGUCUGUCCCUUAGAGGUGAAAACGAGUCGAAACUCAACGAACACUCUAAUGCUCAGAUUCGGCUCUACUUGAAAAAAUUGAGAUCGAAUUCGAUAAGGAAUUUCUAAUUUUGCGCCAGAUUCAACUCGGAUCAUUACUCGGACGUACUCGGCUCGUAAAUACUCGACUCGUUUACAAAACGAGUUACUCACGAGCCUUCAAAUCGAGUUUCGAAUAUGAACCAUAUCGCUUAAUACUGAACCACUACAUUCUAAAUUGAUUAUUGAACUAAUGUUUAUAUAUAAAAGUCUUUUACUUUUAUUUUUGUAAAGAAAUUACAAAGAAUGUAAUACGAAUUGACAAUUAAUUCACUGAUUUAUUCAAGUACAAGCUUACAUAAUUUAAUACUACACUUUAUAAAUUAUAAAGAUUGAUACAAAUAUCACAUAUUUAGCUUAUUAGUAUGGAUCAGAUCAGUAUUCGAAUAUGAUCCAUCGAGCAGGUAUCGAGUAUGGUUCGAGAAAAAAUAAAAUACUCAAACCUUAAUCUGAGCGAAUACUGGUAUACUCGAAUUCGACUCGUGUAUCAUUAAACAGAAAAUGAGUAUGGAUCAUUUUCGACUCGAAUCAUCUUCGAAUUCGAGCUUUAGAUCAUAUUUUCGAACCGAUCUCGAGUCGAGUGUCGAACUACUCUGCUCGGCUAAUACCCCUACUGCCCCUACAUGUUGUAGCGGCAGGUGUGAAUUUUUUAUUUAUUUUUUAAUCCAUGCCGUCCAUUAUAUAUAUAUAUAUAUAUAUAUAUAUAUAGCAAACCGUCAUCUUGUUAUAUAAUUAGUAGUGCAAAAUUAUACCUUUUGGGUUAGUUUUGCACCGCUAAUUAUACCUUAAAAAGUAUGAUUUUACACUAAUAAUUAUAUUACAAGGCAGCGGUUUGCUAUAUUGUAAUUUGUAAAGUCAUAUACAGUAUCUACCCAAGUGAGAAAAAGUGAUAGUACAGUUAUGUAUUUUAGUCUUGUUGAAAUAGCUGUCUUUUAUCUGGUGAAUUGUUUGUUGUAGAUUGUUCCACUCUUGGGGAAGAAUUUGUUAUCUAUUUAGGGUUCUGGUAAUGUUUGGUGAGGUCAGAGGUGUAUAUAUGCUUUAUGCUUGUGUGAAGUUCACAUGCAUGAAAAUUUUAUCUUCUAUAUAAUUAUAUGAAAAUUGUUUGCAUGUACACUGUUAGUUUUUUGCUCUUGUAAUUAAUCAGUAUUUUAGUUUUUGCACCCCAUUUGGAUGAAUGAAUGAAAAUUGGUACAUUUUAGAUUAUUUUUUUUGGGUGGUGGUUUUGUUUUCUUGUGAUGAAGUAUUUCAUUACAUAUUCUCUAUUUUGUGUUGUUCUAUGCAUGGUACAAAUUUUUAUUUUCCAUAUUAAUUAUGACAUUGGAAAAAGUCUAGAUGAUGCAACUGGAAUGAAAAGGACUUGUUAUGAAAUAUGCUUUCUCUUCACCUAGCAAACAUGUGAUAUUUUUCGGAUAAGUUUUCUAUAUCAUCUCGGAUUUAAU